GAAAGAGAAAGAAGGGCAAUUGGUGGAUGCCUAGGUGAUAUCAGGCGACGAAGGACGUGACUACCUGCGAAAAGCCUCGGGGAGCUGGAAGUAAGCGUUGAUCCGGGGGUCUCCGAAUGGGGCAACCCGUUUGAUGUAACGAUCAAACAAUUCAAGCUGAAGGAAAGAUAGGUUUGAAUGGCGAACCUGCUGAAAUGAAACAUCUAAGUAAGCAGAGGAAAAGAAAGCGAAAGCGAUUCUCCGAGUAGCGGCGAGCGGAAGGGGAAGAGCCCAAACCGGUGAGAUUUAUCUUAUCGGGGUUGUAGGACUCACAUAAGUGGUUGGAGUUGAUAGUUUAACACGGUUGGAAAGCCGGGCCAGAGCGGGUGAUAGCCCCCUGAAUGAAAUUGGCGAAAGCUGCGUGAGGAUCCUGAGUAGCACGGGACAAGUGGAAACCUGUGUGAAUUUGCGCGAACUACUGCGUAAGGCUAAAUACUCGAUAUCGACCGAUAGUGGACAAGUACCGUGAGGGAAAGGUGAAAAGAACCCCUGGAGGGGAGUGAAAUAGAAACUGAAACCGGUUGCCUACAAGCGGUCGGAGCCUCGUAUGAGGUGACGGCGUACCUUUUGCAUUAUGGGUCUGGGAGUUAUUGUCUAGGGCGAGCUUAAGGCUUUCAGGGCUGGAGGCGGAGCGAAAGCGAGUCUGAAGAGGGCGAAGAGUCCUAGGCAAUAGACCCGAAGCGGAGAUGAUCUACCCAUGGCCAGGUUGAAACUUUGGUAAGACAAAGCGGAGGACCGAACCCGUGAACCUUGAGAAGUUCUGGGAUGAGCUGUGGGUUGGAGUGAAAGGCUAAUCAAAUUCCGUGAUAGCUGGUUCUCUUCGAAAUAUAUUUAGGUAUAGCCUCGUACGCUGAUCAUUGGGGGUAGAGCACUGAAAAGACUAGGGCCCACACCCGGGUACCAAACCUUAUCAAACUACGAAUACCAGUGAGUGAAGUACGGGAGUCAGGCAGUGGGGGAUAAGCUUCAUUGCCGAGAGGGAAAGAGCCCAGAUCACCGACUAAGGCCCCUAAACAUUGCUAAGUGGAAAGAAGGAAGUAGAUCUACCCAGACAAUAGGGAUGUUGGCUUAGAGGCAGCCAUCAUUUAAACAGUGCGUAACAGCUGACCUAUCGAGUGGGUUUGCGCCGAAAAAGAUCGGGACUAAGCGAUGUGCCGAAGUUGUGGAUUUACGAAAGUAAGUGGUAGAAGAGCGUUCUAAUGGGGCAGAAGCCUGAGGGGAACCGAGGGUGGACCGAUUAGAAGUGAGAAUCCAGACAUGAGUAACGAUAAGUACGGUGAGAAUCCGUACCGCCGUAAGGACAAGGUUUCCUUGGGAAGGUUCGUCCGCCAAGGGUGAGUCGGGAGCUAAGGUGAGGCCGUAAGGAGUAAUCGAUGCACAACAGGUUAAUAUUCCUGUACCGGCUUGCAAGCGUUAAGAUUCAAGGAGUGACAAAAGAAGCUAGUUCAGCGUCCGGAUGAAAGUGGGCGUCGAAGUAACGAGGCUGUUCGAUAGGCAAAUCCGUCGGGCGUAAGGCUGAGUUGCGAGAGGACGUGGAGGCUAAGGCCGAAGCGGAUUGAAGUGGGCUAUAUUUUCGAGAAAAGCUUCGUGAAGAGUUUGCGAGUUGCCCGUACCGUAAACCGACACAGGUGUCCGAGAUGAGUAUUCUAAGGCGCGUGAGUUAAACCUCCCCAAGGAACUCGGCAAAUUGAUCCUGUAUCCUUGGUAGAAAGGAUGCCUCGCAAGAGGCCGCAGAGAAAUGGCCCAGCCGACUGUUUAGCAAAAACACAGCUCUCUGCCAAGUCGAAAGACGAUGUAUAGGGAGUGACACGUGACCAAUGCGGAAAGGUGAAACUCGGAGGUGCAAGCUUCUGAACUAAGCCCCCGUCAAUGUCGGCCGUAACUAUAACGGUCCUAAGGUAGCGAAAUUCCUUGUCGGGUAAGUUCCGACCUGCACGAAACGUGUAACGAGUUGGGCGCUGUCUCAGGGAGGUGCUCAGUGAAAUUGUAGUCGCGGUGAAAAUGCCGCGUACCCGCAGUAGGACGGAAAGACCCUAUGGACCUUUACUGUAACCUGGUAUUGACGAUUUAUUUUUAAUGCGUAGGAUAAGUGGGAGACGGAGAGCGAAUGCUUCAGGGCAUUUGUGAGUCGACGGUGAAAUACCACUCUUUAAUGAUGAAUCUUCUAACCUUGACCCAUGAGCUGGGCGAGAGACAGUGCUAGGGGGUCAGUUUGACUGGGGCGGUCUCCUCCAAAAGCGUAACGGAGGAUUACGAAGGUCUCCUCAGACCGAUUGGCAAUCGGUUCUAGAGCACAUGAGUAGAAGGAGGCUUUACUGUGAGACCUACAAGUCGAGCAGUUGCGAAAGCAGGUUCAAGUGAUCCGGUAGUGGCGAGUAGAAGCGCUACCGCUUAUAGGACAAAAGGUACCCUAGGGAUAACAGGCUGAUAACGCCCAAGCGUUCAUAGCGACGGCGUUGUUUGGCACCUCGAUGUCGACUCAUCACAUCCUGGGGCUGGAGAAGGUCCCAA
rnacentral:rRNA from 1 species